ACUAAAGGGUACCGUAGCCACACCUGAGGUUUAAAAGAGCUGUGUUGGAUGGUAGGAGACCUUGCUGAGAUCAAGCUACCUCCUUCAACUGACAAUGACUGUGCGACACUUGGACUCCCAGGAAAAGCCAUCUAGCACAGAUGGGGACAAAGAAAGGAAAAUAAAUGCUACAGUCAGGCUUAUAAAUCUCUUCUGAGACAGAUACUGAUAUAGCUCUACCAUGGCUCUGCUCAAAGAAAGAAGACCCUUUUUGAACCCUGAUAUUUCGGGCAUAUUGUGCAUCCUAUACCUGCUCCCAGCUCUUCUCCAUGGUCAAGGAAAUGGAUCCUUCUCUUUGAUUGUUCUCUGCUCUGACCACAGGUUUACAUGGAGAUUAUCAAUCAAUGUGAUCCAUCAGAGAUUGUGCUAUUGCUUUAAUGAUGAAUACCACAGAGAUGCUUAUAAGUUUGUCUUGUGUUGUAUUUAGUUCAACUGGGGCAUGAUGCCACCAGGGUCUUUGAGUCAUUUUAUGACAUUUCCUUUGCUGUGUUCCCUUUGAAGGGGCUUUUUUAAUAUCCUAUAUUUAAAAAACCUCCUAAAAUAUAAUAAGAAAUAUAAUAAAAUUAUUGUUAUUAAACUGUGCA
rnacentral:lncRNA from 1 species